rnacentral:misc_RNA from 1 species
UAUAUGGUUUAUAGGCACUGAGGCCCAAAUGAUACAUUCUGUUACAUACUACGGGUAUAUGAAAAACGUAGGCUUGGAAAGUCCAAAGAAAGCUGACGCAAAACGACAGCAUUUCCUCCCAACCGAGUUGCCUCGGAAAGUCUAUUCCAGGUCUACAAGAGGUGCACAGGUGGAGAGAUGGAGAUGGCGGGUGUGCACAUGCCCCCCGAGAGGGCCAGCAACAACCACGCCAAGUUCAUUCAAUAAUGAUCCUUCCGCAGGUUCACCUACGGAAA